GCUGAAAUUGCUAUUGUUGCAUGUGAUAUUCCUGAAGUAAUUGGUACAGCCUUUGCAUUGAACAUGCUUUUCAAAAUUUCUGUGUGGAUUGGUGUUCUUCUGAGUGGGCUUAGCACGUUGGUUCUUCUAGCACUGCAGCAAUAUGGGGUCCGGAAGCUCGAAUUCCUUAUUGCUUUUCUUGUUUCUACAAUCGCUGCAUGCUUUUUGGUGGAGCUUGCCUUUGCAAAACCCUCUGCUUCUG
rnacentral:misc_RNA from 1 species